CCUUACCUGGCCUUGACAUACUAAGAACUUUCCAGAGAUGGAUUGGUGCCUUUCGGGAACUUAGAUACAGGUGCUGCAUGGCUGUCGUCAGCUCGUGUCGUGAGAUGUUGGGUUAAGUCCCGCAACGAGCGCAACCCUUUUUCCUUAUUUGCCAGCGGGUUAAGCCGGGAACUUUAAGGAUACUGCCAGUGACAAACUGGAGGAAGGCGGGGACGACGUCAAGUCAUCAUGGCCCUUACGGCCAGGGCUACACACGUGCUACAAUGGUCGGUACAAAGGGUUGCUACCUCGCGAGAGGAUGCUAAUCUCAAAAAGCCGAUCGUAGUCCGGAUCGCAGUCUGCAACUCGACUGCGUGAAGUCGGAAUCGCUAGUAAUCGCGGAUCAGAAUGCCGCGGUGAAUACGUUCCCGGGCCUUGUACACACCGCCCGUCACACCAUGGGAGUUUGUUGCACCAGAAGUAGGUAGUCUAACCGCAAGGAGGACGCUUACCACGGUGUGGCCGAUGACUGGGGUGAAGUCGUAACAAGGUAAGCGUAGAUGA
rnacentral:rRNA from 1 species